AAUCCAACAUAAACCAAGUAUAUUCGGUUUCUUUUCUCAAAAUUUUGAUUUUUUUGUGAUACUCUGAAUAUAUGUAAUAAGUAUAAAAAACAUUUAUUCAUAUGAUCCAAUGUAUAUACUUUAGUGUAUUUUUCCUUCGAAUCAAAGGCCCAAAUUGGCUAACGGCCAACCAGGACCCAACCCAGCAGUAUUACUCCAAGUUAUAAAGAAAAAACAGUAUUACUCAAAAUCCCUAAAAAACAGUAUUACUCGAAAAAAAAACAACCAGCACCAGUCUCCCUCACUCUCUCCAUUCCCGCACAGUCCUUAGAUCUCACCCACUCCACUCCCUCCGCUCUCCCCCCACAGCCGGCGACUUCAUCUCCCACCGCCGCCCCCUCUCAUCCCUUCCCCUCCACUCAUCCGACGUCGAUCAGGUGCGCGCACCCUCGUCUCCCACGGCGGCGGCGGCGAGGUGCAUGAGCGCGGCGUGCGGCGCGCCCGCCCCGACGGCGGCGGGGGUGGGCGAGUGGAGGAAGGACUGGCCGCUGCGAUCCGGCGGCUUCGCCGUGCUCUGCGACAAGUGCGGAGUUUGAAAGAACUCAUACAAAAUGAGACGGUGCCCUGCCCCAUUGACAUAGUUAAUAACGCUAUUGACGAUCACCUAGCCAAGAGGCUCACCGAACUGUGUGGUUCCGAGAACAAAUUAGUUGUGGGAAGUGCUGAAUAUAAAAGAAUAAUUGAAAUGAACCUGGGAAUAACCUGUCUUUAUGUUGAUGUUCCGGAUUGUGAGAUCAUAAUUUGGAGUCAGAUGAAUCCCGUGUGUACUUUACUUGGUUUCCCAACAGGAGACAUGACUAUUGUGCUGCUAUAUGAAGCACCCGUUGGCAUUGCAAUUUUCUCUUUUGAGGGGGACUACCUCAAUGAUCCAGCAAAGGACUUUUGAGUCUGAAAGAAUUCGUACGAAAUGAGACGGUUCCCUCCCCAGUUGACAUAGCUAAUAAUGCUAUUGACGAUCACCUGGCCAAGAGGCUCACCGACUUGUGUGGUUAUGAGAAGAAAUUAGUUGUAGGGUGUACUGAAUGUAAAGUAAUAAUUGAAAAGAACCUGGGAAUAACAUGUCUGCAUGUUGACGUUCCGGAUUGUGAGAUGAGAAUUUGCACUCAGAAGAAGCCCAUGCAUACUUUAUCGCCUAAAAGACUAUCAGAUCCUACUGAAGAUUCAACGAUAUUCUUACAUCAACAUGACAUUACUUGCAAGCUCGAGACGGUUAACGACUAUUGUUAAGGAAGCUCAUCGCUUGCAUCAAAUCGAAUUGCGUGAAAAGGAACGUUUGAAGUUCUUGCGCCUUCUUCUUAAGGAUUUUAUGAUUAAAUAUGGCAUUGACACUGAGAAUUGGAUUCUGAUCCAAUUUGCAACAGCUCUGAAGAUUAUUGUUUUAUGCCCCUGGAGCAUCAGGUGAACAUAUACCUGGAGGUACAUGUGAUGAGGUCGUCUGUUCCGUUGGCUUGCUGUGUGGAGUCCCCAUAUGGAACUAUUAAAAAAAAGACAUGUCCAACAGACUCAGCCAGAUGAAGGCCGUCGAAGAUCACAAGGGCAGCUUGCUGUUGUACAGGAUUUCAACACAUAAGGGCAGCUUGUUACAUUUACAGAAACUCAUGAUGUUGGCAAUGGUAAGGGGGUGAAAUCAUGAAGGCACGGUUGGGUUGCAAGGUGCUCAAACUCUCAUAUUGCGAUUUGCCUACAACUUUGUUUGUAUGUUUGGUUGUUUGUAGUUUGUUUCUGUGACCUGUACUAAACUAUAUAGCAGCUAUUUGCAGUCUGACAUACAUCUGCAUAUACAAAACUCAGAGAAGUCAUGGUAAAAACUUGCUGUUAAGCGACGAUAUAGGCGUCAUAAAGAACUUCAGUCAUUUGAUUGAAGCGCAGAUCUGUACACGAAGACCUUAGAAACAAAGCCUGGGUUAGGUGGGUGAGCAUGGAAAUCUAAGCUAGUCUGGGUUUGGCUCUGCAGUGUGGUAUCGGGGAACUGUUUGAAUUAGACUUCAGAUUUUAGCACCGCUUUCCUCAGUGUUUCAGGGUAAACAUGCCAUAUGUUGAGCAUCAAAUAUCUUGCGCAUGUGGGUUGAUAUGGUUCGAUCUGGUCCGGUCUGAUUCGUUGAGACCAAGGCUUAUUCGACUGGUUUGACGCAGUUGAAAGCGGAACAUAUGCAUGAUUUUUUGAAUUUAUUUGGUGGUUUGACCAGUUGAACUUCCUGUUUUUCAUGAUUAGAGAUUCAUUCACUGAACUUGACUACAGCUAUUCCCUUACCAUAUGAUGGUUACGCUUAUCAGUUUGGUACUGUUGUGGACCGGAUGAGGCCCUGAUUAUGAUUUUAGAUUAACUGACAGUUGUAUAUAUGUUUCUAAUAGUUGGUUCUGCUUCUCAUGUGUAGAUUAACUGACAGUUGUAUAUGUUUCUUGUGCCCAAACUGCUUUAUUGGAUAGCAAAGAAUUGUUAGCCCCAGUUAUCACACCAUUUGAAGCUGUAUUAGCUUUUAGCAGGUACAUGUCAUUAUUGAACACGAGUCCAUCAUGAUCGCCCUGAUUUCUACACGAAGACCUUACAAACAAAACCCGUGUUCAUACCUGGGGUUGAAUCCGUACAACAUACCUGGGGUUGAAACCGUACAUCAUACCUGGGGUUGAAACCACCCUGCGUCUGCAGCGGCGCCGACGGGAGCUCCUACGUCUGUGGCGGCGAUCCAGAAACGUGGAUGCGAGAUCCGUCUGGUCUUCUCGAGGGGUUCCGCGGCGGCGGCGCUGUCGAGUGCGCAGAUCGCACGACGGCUGCGCAGAUCGCAGGACGGUGGCGAUCCAGAUGGCGAGAUCCGGCGGGGUCUGGGGAUCGGCGGCAGGGCGAUUCCAAUGGACUCAGGCGGCGCUGUUUCUUUGGGCUACGUGCGUGGAUGGGGUUGGGUGGGUGUGGGGGUGAGGGGACGAAAAAACCCAGACGAAAGUGGUGGGACGAAAAAAAGCCGUGGACGCAAUCCUACCAACUCAGACAUUAGAAGUAGAGAUUCUCCCGUUGCAACUCACGGGCAUUUGUGCUAGUCAAUCGAAAUCACUCCACGACGUACGAAACCCCCGAUCGUUGCCAACACCGUCAGAGGGAGACGCCGCCGCCGCCGCAGCAUCUCCAAGGAGGGCAGUUUGAAUCCCUGCCGCCGACGUACGGGAUCGCCGCCGCCGAAAUCUGGGACACGCCGUCACCGCCGUCCGAGGGGAGACGCCGCCACCGCGUCUCCACAGCAGGGCGGUUUCAAUCCUUGCCGCCGACGUAAGGGAUGGUCGCCGCCAAACUCCGGGAGACACCGUUGCCACCGUCCGAGGGGAGACGCCGCCGCCGGGUCUCCAUGGCAGGGCGGUCUCAAUCCCAGGUAUGCGAAGGAGAUCUGGCUGCCAAAUAAUCUCCUUGCCAACUCAAUCCCAGGUACAUAUGGGGAAUCCACAAAGCAAAGCAGCGGAACAAAUGAUAUCGUCAGAUGUACCUGCAGAUCAGAUGGAGGGGACAAAUGUUGACGACUAUAACCUUCAGCCCGUAGCUCACGAUAUUGAUGAGAUUUACCCAAGUAGUCCUGACCAAAGAUCAGGUUCUUCCCCAACCCACUGAUGGUGAUAGCACAAAUGUUCAACGACCUUCCCAUCCGAUUUCAGGAAGCUUCACAUGGCAGAGAGCGAAGUUUUGGAAGCCACGGGUGGAGCGUUAUCAAAUAGGUCGAAUCGUGUCUGCCAAUCCAGCCGAGGGGACCAAUACUUUCCUGUCUAAGUCUGCCCCUAUGUGCUUCCAUGGACAUCCCCUGUUAUGGGGCGGCGUCGAGUGGAAAUUGAUUUUAUCUCCUUCCAAUUUACCAAAAGUUGGAUCAAGUACGAGCUUGCAUAAUUAGGCGGUUUGAACCAAUGAAUAGUCACAAAAGUUGUUUUAUAUGCUGAUGAAGUGCGUACUUGUGUACUUAGGUGAUUAGAACCAUGUAAUAUAGUCACAAAAGUCAUUUUAUAUGCUACGAUCCCAAGAUUGUAAAGUGUUCACAUAUUUUAAGAAGUAAAUUUCAUAUUGCCAACUAGCCUGAUGCAUAAUGAGUCAUUCGGAAUGGCAAGUGAUCAGAUAUUAAACUCCCACUAAGCUAUCACAAUUAGGAGUAAAGUUGAUGUGGAUGGUUCGACAUUAAAGCUAACUAAGUCCAAUUUUACCUGGGAUUUAUCUGUAAGUAUAUCAUCGAUAUUAGUUCUCCCAAAAGAUUGCUGAGUUUUCGUAGAAGAGGGUUCUCCAUCGUUAGCCUUGUUCUCAUCAUCAUAUUUGGCAGAUUCUUGCCUUUGAUCUUGAACUACAGAAACCUGUAGGGUGGAUAGACUCGGUACAUACCGACUGGCAAUGUAUAAGGAAAAUAAAGGAGUAGAAUACCAGAGUUGCAGAGGUAAAUAUUGUCACCAACAGUGAUUCUUUUUGUCAGUACAAGCAUAUGAUGAAAAGGGGGAAAGACAAGCGAAUGCAAUGAGUUUGUACUUCUACAUGGAGUUAAUGUGUCCAAAGUUGAACUCGAUAAAAGGUGUCCAUGACCCAUGAUAACUUGAAGAUUAUCAACAGUAUUUGAACUAAGCUAAACCAAUGGUAGUCAAGGCAUUUCAGCACUGGUGUUAGAUAAUCAAAGAAACUUGCUGAUGAUUCACCAAGAAACAACUUAGGUGCUAUAGCUUACAAGUUAGUGUAAACUAAAGUUUGACAGUAUCAUAUUAUACUAUAUAUGCUUAUGAAUAACUAACACUUAUAACUAUAGAAGCUUGGUACUAUGGAAAACAUCUGAAACAGUUAAGCUAGCUAAUGCAGACCAAACCAAAAAAACUCAGGAUUUGCGCACUUCAAAUAAUAAGCCUUUAAAGUACAAAAUUAAGACACGUCUAAGAUUAAGCUUCUUGAUGAUAACUUCGGGUCGCAGCAUCAUUGUGAUAUUUACAAGAAAAAUACUGCAUACCAUGGUGAUAUUUCAAAAGAGAAAAGUAGAUACAAGAAAGGGGAUAUAUUGCUUCAAUUCUUACAUUUUCAGCCCUGUCAUCUCCUUUUUAAUUAUAUGCGUCUUGAUCACCUGUAGGACUGUAGGAGAAAAAAAUGCAUAACAUAUGAGCAAAAAUGAUGUUGCAAUUAAAAAUAACAGUACCAUAAGUGUUGCCCCACUUCUCCACAGCGCAUUGGUGGCCGAGCACGGGAGAGAAUCUACCUCAUCUACUGAUUGGUUUCAUCCAUCUCUCUCUCUUCUUGACGCCCAUACUGUUGCUGAAAAAUAUGUGACAUGCUUUUGCUGCUCCUCUGCAUGAACUCUCACUUUUUUUUUGGAAAUGGAGGUAUACCCCCGGCCUCUGCAUCAUGAUGAUGCAUGCGGCCCUUUUAUUAAAAAUCCAGGAAGUAUCAUCAAAAAUGUCUUACAGCUCGCAAACGGAGCAAAACAUAGCACAAAACUGAAAAACACGUGGAUAGAGACAACUGAGAUACGGUAAUAAUAAGGACAAGCUCCCUAGACUCCUAUCCUGUUAUGUGAACGCCAUCCGAACCGGUUGAAUAUAACCCGAGCCACCAUCUCCCAUUGGUUGCACCCAGUAACCAAAGGCUCCCUGGAGUCCAUAGGAGUGAGUAAGGACCACGUACGGAUCCAAGCUGUAGCUCUGAAGAUAACCUGCAAAAAAGUUAAGUUGUGUUGUCUGUUAAAAAUCAUGUCGUUUCUGCAGUUCCAUAUAGCCCAUAGUAGCGCACAUAUUCCAAUCCGAAUACGAGCUGCCGUGAUCUGUUCAACCCCAGCUAACCACGUCCCAAACAAAGACACAAUAUCUACUGGAUGGUUAAUAUUAAAAGCUAUAUGAAUCGUUCUCCAAAGUAACUUAGCAAGUGGGCAUUCAAUGAAUAAAUGUUGUAUUGUCUCAUCCUGAGCACAAAAACAACACCUCGAGUUACCUACCCAUCGCCUCAUGAACUCUCACUUGACAUUGACAUCUCUUCUCCUCUGUAUUAGUAAUCUGCAAGAGCACAGAUUGGCACAUAUCACAUCAACAACUCUUAGUACAUUCUGAUUUACUUAUUUCUAUGUAAUAUUGACAUCCACCAAGAUAGACAGACCAACCCCCACACGACAUUGACAACUCUUCUCCUCUGUACAAUGCAAAUACUACCGAUAAUCGAAGAAGACAACCUAUCCAAAUCAGACGUUGUUGGGGUAAGAUGAGCUCUGAAAUUCUGCUAUUCGAUGGCAUGUGGUGCAAGGUCAACGAUGCAUUCACAGCUACUGGACAAUAAUAGCCAGGACUUAGUUUCCAAAUCAGAGAUGUAUAGAUUAGAGCAGAAUCAACCAUUCAAAUUUCUCAACAUGUGGAUGUUCAUACGGAACUAUCCCAAGUGGAAUGCGAUCUACUGUCAAGUCAAAAAGCCAUGAUUUAGAUAAUAAAUUGUUGUUCUCAUUCCAAGGUCUACUCCCCAAAUUUCUUUUUAGGACUAUGUAAAUUGAAGAUCAGUCAGUUUGGAACAUGCCAAACUGUAGAUCACCACAUAUUAUUGUCCUACUAUAUGAUAAUUGAAAUUUCCUUCAUACAAGUAUUGUUCCAUCGAUUCAGGAAGAACAUGGCGCACACAGAUUACCAUAGUUUCAUGUGUGCAUCUCAACAGCAGUUAAACCAACCAGGGAUUGUACAGCUAGCAGUAGGGAAUUACCUCGACGCCAUACCUAAUUGAGAUGCCAAGUGAGCUUGCUCAUCCUGUACGCCUCGCAUUCGUGCGCCGCUGCCUCCUCCCACCUUCAGGUUCGCCAGACUCGCCACGAGCUCCUCCAGCUUCGUCCCCAUGUGGGAAGGCGCGUUGCUGACUUGUCCGCUCGCGCACCGCCCUCUUCCUAUCCGCCGGCCUCGCCGCCAGCUCCCCCGACCCAUCUCCAUGGAGGAAGAUGCGGGCUGCUGCCUCAUCUGCCCGCGCACCGCCGUUCGCCGUGGACGGCAUCUGAGGAUGGGGGAAAUCGGCCCGGAGGUCUUGUCCGGCUCGCUGGAUCUGACAAGAGAUGGUGGUGUUGGGAGGGGCGUGGACAAUUCGAGAAGAGAGAGCUGGGUGAGCUGAGUGAGUGAGGACUGGGCUAGCUAGCUGGUGGCUCGUUCGAUUGGAUGGUUGGUGUCGACUCUUCGCUUCGUUGCGUGCGUUGGAGACACCGGCGCUUCACACGGUUGUCCGAAAGGAAAAUUAAUUAAAUAAGCGCUCAAGCUAGCGCUCGUGUGUUGUAAGCCUAGACUCCUGCACUGCACUGGUGCUUCGUCAUAAUUUAUUUUUUAUUUUGACGCAAGCGCCCAUACCGGCGCCCCUGCAUUGGAGAUGCCCUAAGAGUGAGGGCUUGUGCCGUGCGGUGAAAGGGUAAGAGGAGUGAAGCGUUCUUUUUUUCCUUUUAAGAUAACAGGAAUAUGAGUGGCUGGUUGCGUUUUCCUUUUAGGAAAAGUGCUUGUUUAUUUAUAGGAGUAUACUGGAGCAUAAGGAAAAAGCGUCUGUUUUUUCUAUAUUGUCAAAAAGCGUGGCUUGCUGUGAGCGAAAUGUAACACAUUUUUUAUAAUGGAAAAACACAUAUCCUAAAUAGUAAAUUUCCAAGAAUAAUCAUCAACAAGGAUUUUAUAGGUGGGCCCAACAUUUAUUAAAAUUGGGAUGCCACUCUACUAAAAAUCACUAUUACACUCACUCAGUCAAAAACAAUCACCUCUCGCAUCUAGAUACAUCACAAUCAUUAGAGACUAAAACUCUGAGGCAAAAUUACUGAGAUUUGCGAGGUACUUCAACGAUGCAAUUGUAAUAGCACAACCUGACUGGAAUUAUGUUAUAUGUAGAUGGCAACACAUAUUUCCGGUUGGUAUUUUAACAAGCAUGGAUGGGUAAAUAUUUCUUUUUAUUAUCAUAGCAUUCAAGAUACAAACAUUUAAUUUCAAUUUCACUAUAUUCAAUAUAAUAUUAAUUAUUUCAAUUUGCAGGGAUGUGUCCGGCUAUUUUCUUUCUAAUUUUAUGCUCUUGCAGAACGAUAAAAAAAAUGGUUCGUCUGGUUUGUGCGGAUGGCUAUAGCCGAGGAAGAAAUUUAUUAUACUUGCUCAAGUAUCCCAUGGGAUAUGGCCAUGAUGGACUUUAUUGACGGCCCGACACCAGGGAACUAUACUCGCUAUCCCAAGCUACUAGUUUAUUUAUAGAGUCAAGGGUGAGCAUGUGUCUGUGACCUGAUAUUGUACAAGAAUAUCUUUGCAAUGGUCGUCUUAUUCAAAACCUCAAUCAUCACAUCGCGCUGUGCAUAAAAUAAAUCUUAGCUUGUAACAGAUUAUUAGUUGGAUCAUCACUCUCUAUGUGUACAUCAUCAAAUUACCUUUUUAUCAACUUACACUACAUUGUGAAGUUUAUUUGAAUUAUUACCCAAUUUGUUA